ACCACAGUCCUUCUGAUUUCAAGUUACCUCCACCUGUGUGACCUACCAGGUGUAGGACUGCAUCCUCCCCAAAGGCCUAAUUCAUUUCACCUGUGGCAAUCCAUAAAUAAAGGCACUUGUUUGUGCCUAUUGGGCUCUUUCUCUGUAGGCUGCAGCUUAGGCCUUGUUUCCUUAGUGCUGCUGAGGGAGCACGGCUGCAGCCAUUUAUGUGGGUACUGCUCUUUUGACUUCAGCUUCACUCAUGGAAAUGGCACUGAACGUGCCUAAAGGAUGGGAGGACAGACCCUGUCAUGCUGCUGCCACUCGUGUUGCUUUCACUGUGCUCACCCCUUCUGUCUUCAUGUCACCUUGUGGUGAGGACCUACAGUUAUGGCUGAGGAACAGAAGACCUAAGGAACAGGCAGCGCUUCAAAGAAGAAUGUUUGUUUGAAGACUGCAGUUUAUACUGUGAAACUGAACCUGAAGCUGAGUUUCUGUCUCUUCCUGAG
rnacentral:lncRNA from 1 species